rnacentral:rRNA from 1 species
UACGGAGGGGGCUAGCGUUGUUCGGAAUUACUGGGCGUAAAGCGAGUGUAGGCGGUUUGAUAAGUCGGAUGUGAAAGCCCCGGGCUCAACCCGGGAAGUGCACUCGAUACUGUCAAGCUAGAGUAUCGGAGAGGUUGGUGGAAUUCUCGGUGUAGAGGUGAAAUUCGUAGAUAUCGAGAGGAACACCGGUGGCGAAGGCGGCCAACUGGACGAAUACUGACGCUGAGACUCGAAAGCGUGGGGAGCAAACAGG